rnacentral:rRNA from 1 species
UUGAAGUGGGUAAUCCUAUGCUGCCUAGAAAAGCCUCUAGCGAGUGUUAAAGCCGCCCGUACCCCAAACCGACACAGGUGGUCAGGUAGAGAAUACUAAGGCGAUCGAGAUAACUAUGGUUAAGGAACUCGGCAAAAUGCCCCCGUAACUUCGGGAGAAGGGGGGCCCGUUCUGGUGAGGAGAUUUACUCUCCGAGCUGGGAUUGGCCGCAGAGACCAGGCCCAAGCGACUGUUUACUAAAAACACAGGUCCAUGCUAAGUCGCAAGACGCUGUAUAUGGACUGACGCCUGCCCGGUGCUGGAACGUUAAGGGGACGGGUUAGCGACUUCGGUCGCGAAGCUCAGAACUUAAGCGCCAGUAAACGGCGGUGGUAACUAUAACCAUCCUAAGGUAGCGAAAUUCCUUGUCGGGUAAGUUCCGACCUGCACGAAUGGCGUAACGACUUGGGCGCUGUCUCAACCGUAGACUCGGCGAAAUUGCACUACGAGUAAAGAUGCUCGUUACGCGCGGCAGGACGGUAAGACCCCGGGACCUUUACUACAGCUUGGUAUUGGUGGUCGAUUCGAUUCGUGUAGGAUAGGUGGGAGACUGUGAACUUCGGACGCCAGUUCGAAGGGAGUCAUCGUUGAAAUACCACUCUGAUCGUAUUGGCUGUCUAACCUAGAUCCGUAAUCCGGAUCAGGGACAGUGCCUGGUGGGUAGUUUAACUGGGGCGGUUGCCUCCUAAAAUGUAACGGAGGCGCUCAAAGGUUCCCUCAGCCUGGUUGGCAAUCAGGUAUCGAGUGUAAGUGCACAAGGGAGCUUGACUGUGAGACUGACGGGUCGAGCAGGGACGAAAGUCGGAACUAGUGAUCCGGCGCUGGCAAGUGGAAGCGGCGUCGCUCAACGGAUAAAAGGUACCCCGGGGAUAACAGGCUGAUCUUGCCCAAGAGUCCAUAUCGACGGCAUGGUUUGGCACCUCGAUGUCGGCUCGUCGCAUCCUGGGGCUGGAGUAGGUCCCAAGGGUUGGGCUGUUCGCCCAUUAAAGCGGCACGCGAGCUGGGUUUAGAACGUCGUGAGACAGUUCGGUCCCUAUCCGCCGCGCGCGUAAGAGUCUUGAGAAGAUCUGUCCCUAGUACGAGAGGACCGGGAUGGACGAACCUCUGGUGUGUCAGUUGUCCUGCCAAGGGCACUGCUGAUUAGCUACGUUCGGAAGAGAUAACCGCUGAAAGCAUCUAAGCGGGAAACUCGCUUCAAGAUGAGGGCUCUCACAGGGUUAACCUGGUAAGGCCCCCAGUAGACCACUGGGUUGAUAGGCCGGAAGUGGAAGUGCGGUAACGCAUGCAGCUGACCGGUACUAAUAGGCCGAGGACUUGACCAA